UUAAAAAUGAGGAAAGUCCGAGCAUCAAGAGAACUGGGUGCUGGUUAACGGCCAGCGGAGGCGACUCUAGGGAAAGUGCAACAGAAAUAAACCGCCUAAUUUUUAGGUAAGGAUGGAAAGGUAGUGUAAGAGACUACCGCUCAAUUAGGGAUAGUUGAGGCUCUGUAAACCCCACCUGAUGCAAGGUCUAAAGAGCAAUAGUGCUUGUUCUCUCACGCUCUUGAGAACCGCUUGAACCUAUUGGCAACAAUGGGACUAGAUAGAUGAUUGUCAAAUACAGAACUCGGCUUAUAGCAUA
rnacentral:RNase_P_RNA from 1 species